rnacentral:lncRNA from 1 species
GGUCUUCCGUCACGCCCCGCUUCCCGCAAACAAAUCACCGCCACCACUUAGGAAACCACGGGAAAGCUGUGAUUGCAGCGCCACGGUCGCCAGAUUUCUGCUCCUGGGCACAUUACCCCCAACUCCGAGGCCCCCUUUUUGGCAGGGCUAGUCUGGACUGGCCAAUCCAGGUCCCUGCACGCCUCUCACCGCAACAUCCCC